CCCACUUCGUGUCCGACCUAAUUCUGAACCACAUUUGGUCCUUGAGAGAUGACCAAGGAGUCACUUCCUAGCUAUACUGCAUUUUUCAUUAGCUAUCAAAUUUGUAUGGGUUGCGACAGCCCACCAAAUUUUAAUGUAAUAAAAUUUAAAAUGUCUAAUUUGAGAGUCUUGAAUUUAUUUUGUGUCCUCCAAAUGUCCC
rnacentral:lncRNA from 1 species